CUGCCAUAUCAUGUUGAGACACCGGUUCCAAGAAGAUCACCGAAGUUAAGCAACGUCGAACCUGGUUAGUACUUAGAUGGUGAAUGCAUGGGAAUACCAGGUACUGUAGG